GUGGACGCCAGUCUGCGUGGAGCCGACCUUGAAAUACCACCCUUUAAUGUUUGAUGUUCUAACGUGGACCCGUGAUCCGGGUUGCGGACAGUGUCUGGUGGGUAGUUUGACUGGGGCGGUCUCCUCCUAAAGAGUAACGGAGGAGCACGAAGGUUGGCUAAUCCUGGUCGGACAUCAGGAGGUUAGUGCAAUGGCAUAAGCCAGCUUGACUGCGAGCGUGACGGCGCGAGCAGGUGCGAAAGCAGGUCAUAGUGAUCCGGUGGUUCUGAAUGGAAGGGCCAUCGCUCAACGGAUAAAAGGUACUCCGGGGAUAACAGGCUGAUACCGCCCAAGAGUUCAUAUCGACGGCGGUGUUUGGCACCUCGAUGUCGGCUCAUCACAUCCUGGGGCUGAAGUAGGUCCCAAGGGUAUGGCUGUUCGCCAUUUAAAGUGGUACGCGAGCUGGGUUUAGAACGUCGUGAGACAGUUCGGUCCCUAUCUGCCGUGGGCGCUGGAGAACUGAGGGGGGCUGCUCCUAGUACGAGAGGACCGGAGUGGACGCAUCACUGGUGUUCGGGUUGUCAUGCCAAUGGCACUGCCCGGUAGCUAAAUGCGGAAGAGAUAAGUGCUGAAAGCAUCUAAGCACGAAACUUGCCCCGAGAUGAGUUCUCCCUGAGAC
rnacentral:rRNA from 1 species